rnacentral:siRNA from 1 species
GUGAUUGUUAUGCAGGUGACA